CCUACGGGAGGCAGCAGUGGGGAAUAUUGGGCAAUGGAGGAAACUCUGACCCAGCAACGCCGCGUGAAGGAUGAAGGCUUUCGGAGUGUAAACUUUUGUUUCGAGGGAUGAAGAAUGAGGGUAGCUCGUAAGAAAGCCUCGGCAAACUACGUGCCAGCAGCCGCGGUAAUACGUAGGGGGCGAGGGUUGUCCGGAAUGACUGGGCGUAAAGGGAGUGUAGGGGGUAUAUUAAGUUAUGUGUGAAAGCCCGCGGCUCAACCGCGGAAUUGCACUUGAAACUGGGAAGUUGGAGUGCAGGAGAGGUAGGCGGAAUUCCCGGUGUAGCGGUGAAAUGCAUAGAUAUCACGAAGAACACCGGAGGCGAAGGCAGCUUACUAAACUGUCACUGACGCUGAGGCUCGAAAGCGUGGGGAGCAAACAGGAUUAGAUACCCCAGUAGUC
rnacentral:rRNA from 1 species